UACAGAGGGGGCAAGCGUUGUUCGGAAUUACUGGGCGUAAAGGGCGCGUAGGCGGCCCGCUAAGUCGAACGUGAAAUCCCCGGGCUCAACCCGGGAACUGCGUCCGAUACUGGCAGGCUUGAAUCCGGGAGAGGGAUGUGGAAUUCCAGGUGUAGCGGUGAAAUGCGUAGAUAUCUGGAGGAACACCGGUGGCGAAGGCGACAUCCUGGACCGGUAUUGACGCUGAGGCGCGAAAGCCAGGGGAGCAAACGGG
rnacentral:rRNA from 1 species